rnacentral:rRNA from 1 species
AGAGUUUGAUCCUGGCUCAGGAUGAACGCUAGCGGCAGGCCUAAUACAUGCAAGUCGAACGGUAAAUAUUUUAGCAAUAGAAUAUGAGAGUGACGUACGGGUGCGUAACGCGUAUGCAACCUACCCAAAACAGGAGUAUAGUUCGGGGAAACUCGGAUUAACACUUCAUAGUAUCAUUGGAAGGCAUCUUUUGGUGAUUAAAACUGAGGUGGUUUUGGAUGGGCAUGCGUCUGAUUAGCUAGUUGGUGGUGUAACGGACCACCAAGGCGAUGAUCAGUAGGGGACCUGAGAGGGUGAUCCCCCACACUGGCACUGAGAUACGGGCCAGACUCCUACGGGAGGCAGCAGUAGGGAGUAUUGGUCAAUGGAUGGAAGUCUGAACCAGCCAUGCCGCGUGCAGGAAGAAGGCCUUCUGGGUUGUAAACUGCUUUUGCCAGGGGCUAAAAGGCCCAUGCGUGGGAAAUUGAAAGUACCUGGUGAAUAAGCCACGGCUAACUACGUGCCAGCAGCCGCGGUAAUACGUAGGUGGCAAGCGUUGUCCGGAUUUAUUGGGUUUAAAGGGUGCGUAGGCGGCUUAUUAAGUCAGUGGUGAAAUAUCGCAGCUUAACUGUGAGGGUGCCAUUGAUACUGAUGAGCUUGAGUACAGAUGAGGUAGGCGGAAUUGACGGUGUAGCGGUGAAAUGCAUAGAUAUCGUCAAGAACACCUAUAGCGAAGGCAGCUUACUAAGCUGUAACUGACGCUGAGGCACGAAAGUGUGGGGAUCAAACAGGAUUAGAUACCCUGGUAGUCC